rnacentral:rRNA from 1 species
GGGAGGAAAAGAAACUAACAAGGAUUUUCUUAGUAGCGGCGAGCGAAAAGAAAAAAGUUCAGCACUAAGUCACUUUGUCUCUAUGGCAAAUGUGAGAUGCAGUGUAUGGAAUGUCGGAUAUCUAGUAUGAGAAAUUAACGAUUUAAGUCCUUCUUAAAUGAGGCCAUUUACCCAUAGAGGGUGCCAGGCCCGUAUAACGUUAAUGAUUACUAGACGGCAUUUCCAAAGAGUCGUGUUGCUUGAUAGUGCAGCACUAAGUGGGUGGUAAACUCCAUCUAAAACUAAAUAUAACCAUGAGACCGAUAGUAAACAAGUACCGUGAGGGAAAGUUGAAAAGAACUCUGAAUAGAGAGUUAAAUAGUACGUGAAACUGCUUAGAGGUUAAGCCCGAUGAACCUGAAUAUCCAUUAUAGAAAAUUCAUCAUUAUGAUUUUAAUAUUUGUAAUAUUAUAAUAAUGGUGUGCAUUUUUUCUAUAUAAGGACAUUGUAAUCUAUUAACAUCAAUAUUUAUCAAAAGAUCAUUUGCGAAGGUUUAAUCAAAUUAUUUUGCUUGCAAUUUAACAUAGGUUAAAUGCUUAUGACUUGAUAAAGUGUUGAUAGAUUUAUUAUAUAUAGUGCUUGAAUAUUUAUAUUCUAUAAUAGCAUAUUAAUUAUUAAUUUUUAUGUUUAUUAUAUGCGCUUAUAUGAUUAACAAUGCGAAAGAUUCAGGAUACCUUCGGGACCCGUCUUGAAACACGGACCAAGGAGUCUAACAUAUUUGCAAGUUAUUGGGAAUUAAAACCUAAUAGCGAAAUUAACAUAACUUAUAUAAUGGGAUUAGUUUUUAGCCUAUUUAUAGUCUAUUAAUUCAAUCCCGGGGCGUUCUAUACGGUUAUGUAUAAUAGUAUUUAUAUUAUUUAUACCUCUAACCAGAGCGUACCUUGAGCAUAUAUGCUGUGACCCGAAAGAUGGUGAACUAUACUUGAUCAGGUUGAAGUCAGGGGAAACCCUGAUGGAAGACCGAAACAG